CCACGGGAAGACAAGCUCAUCCGAGGCAUAUCACAGUCAAACAUCAGAUGACUCCAGGGCUUUGUGCUCAGUGGGAGGUUUCCUUUGGAGCAGAACUGAAAGGGAACACUCAUUAUUCUUGGAUAUGUGCCAGUGAAACGGGAGACGCUCUGCCACUGAGGACUGGGAGUGAUGGGAAUGAUAAAAAAACAGAUCUGGGGGGACUGGAGCAAAAAUGGAAGAGUUUGCUGAUGGCUCAGAGAAACCAUUGAUGGGGCCUUGCCUUCUGAUACAAGGCAUCUUCAAUCAAUCAUUUCAAAGCCUCUCGCUGCGGCCAAAUGCUUGGGGAUCAUGCAAUAUCUUCCGAUUUAAAUUGCUUUCUUCUUUAAGACUCUCUUCGGUGACGGGUAUUCUUGGGUGGAUAAUACAGAUUGCGUUGUUAUUGCUUAAGAAUACGCGUAGUUGAGGAGAGUCAUUUCUUCAGCGACUUCAAGGAACUUAAAUCCCUUGACCCUAAAGUACCUGGCUGCCUGUUUGAUUCUGUAUUUUUUUCCCUAAUAUUUAGGGCACAUAUGCAGCGCAUUUAAAUGAACGCUGGGCUGCGUUGUCAAGCCGCCAGUGAAAACAUCAUUUGUUUCCCACUGUUGUCAUGAUUGCAGCUUUGAGUCUUUGAAUCUUGCGCUAGCUGGAACAACGUUGGCCGUUAAUCAUUUUCUUGGAAUAAAAAAAAAAAUGUUAACAUAA